AGCGGCAGCGCCCAGCAACGACCGCCAGGGAGAGGUCGAGAGGAAGCAAGGAAGCAAGAGCGCCCCGGGGGACGACCCGGAUCCACUUCCAAAGGCGACGACUGCAAAAUCAAACAGGGUUGUUUUGUGUGUGGGAAAGCAGGCCAUCGGGCGGCGGAAUGUUGGGUGCGGAAGGGGGAACCACCAAAAGCCCCGAAACCCAUGCCCGCGGCUGGGAGGCGAGCGGAGGAGGAGAUACAAGCCCCGGAGUCUACGGAGAAGCUGGUGAGUCAGGACAGACGCAUGAUGGUAAUACCAAUUUGCUUAUCGGGACUAAAGGAUCGAGCCACCUGUAGAGCGUUUGUAGAUUGUGGCUGCUCUAGGAACAUUAUAACUCCGGAUGUGGGAGGCUUCUCUCAUGUCCUCGCAUGGAGCUGGAUCUUAAAGAGGGAGCUCAUCUGCGCUCUCCCCGGGUGGGAUUCGAACCUGGCAGCUUUCAGGUCAGCAACCCAACCUUCAGGUCACAAGGCUUUUAUCCCCUAGGCCAUCGGAGGCUCCUAAAUGAUAAUAAAUGCACCUAAAUGAUCAUUAGUGGAAUGAGAACAUCCCCAAAUGGAUGAGAAUAUACACCUAAUUAGUUAAGUAAUGUUAAGAUAGUUAUGGUAUAAGGGGCAAGACCCUGUACAAAUCAAAAUCUUUUGGAAAUGCCUGUAUAAUGCCUUACUAAAAUAAGGAAAUUUUGAAUCUGAUAUAAUGAUGAAUAAGAAGCUACUUUAAAUGGUUAAGUUUGUGUUCCUACAUGUGUUAAUUAUUAUCAAAUCUAUUAAAGAGAUGCUGAGAGAUCAAGAAAACUCCCUAUGAAAAAAAUUAUUUAUUUAUUUAUUUAGAACAUUUAUAUUCCACGCUUCCUACCCUAAAGGGACUCAGGGCGGAGCACAACAUAUACACGGCAAACAUUCCAUGCCAGAACAUAAAAUAAACCAUAAAUAUACAUAAACACUAUACAUAAAAAUAACGUCCAUGUAAUAUGAUGUAACAAUACUUUUAACAUGCAGGAUCUUGUCACAUGGCUCAACUAAGCAUUUCUGUUUUCACUGGCAAAAGGGAAAGUGUGCGGGGAAACUCCGCAUGCACUCCCUCCUCCCCUCAUCACACAGAGAGGGUGGGAAAGGGUGUGUUGACACCCCUUCCCAACCCCCAUCACA
rnacentral:lncRNA from 1 species